UACGUAGGGUGCAGGCGUUAAUCGGAAUUACUGGGCGUAAAGCGUGCGCAGGCGGCUCCUUAAGUCAGAUGUGAAAUCCCCGGGCUUAACCUGGGAACUGCGUUUGAAACUGGGGAGCUCGAGUGUGGAAGAGGGGGGUGGAAUUCCAGGUGUAGCAGUGAAAUGCGUAGAGAUCUGGAGGAACACCGAUGGCGAAGGCAGCCCCCUGGGCUAACACUGACGCUCAUGCACGAAAGCGUGGGGAGCAAACAGG
rnacentral:rRNA from 2 species